UACGGAGGGUGCAAGCGUUGUCCGGAUUUAUUGGGUUUAAAGGGUGCGUAGGCGGGUCUGUAAGUCAGCGGUGAAAUCCAGCAGCUCAACUGUUGAAUUGCCAUUGAUACUGCGGAUCUUGAGUGGGAUCGAGGUGACAGGAAUGUGUGGUGUAGCGGUGAAAUGCAUAGAUAUCACACAGAACACCGAUUGCGAAGGCAAGUCACUAGGUUUCAACUGACGCUGAGGCACGAAAGCGUGGGGAUCAAACAGG
rnacentral:rRNA from 1 species